CACUACUGUGGAAAACUGUGUGGAAGACUGUGAAUUUUAUUGCUUAAUGAUAGAGGGAAAAUUGGUGUAUGUGUGAGAUACGGAUAGAGAGGAGGUGGGAGGGAGAGAGAGAGAGAGAGAGAGAGAGAGAGAGCGAGGAGCAAACUCACAGCACGUUGCCUGUGAAGUGUCUGGUGUCUGCCCAGCAGAUUUACAGAACUCCUUUUAGUAUAUCUGGAGAGAGAAGGAGAAAGUGAGGCAGCAAGGCUGAGAGAGAGAGAGCAGGAGGGAUCCUACAGCGAUUCAAACGCAGCACCUUUGAAAAGCAGGGUGGUCAAGCAGGAGCAGAUACUCUUAACGCCCCGGGCCGUUCUCCUCAGUUCCUGUGCUGUGAUCCACCAGAAGCCUGGGAAGGUGGACGCCCCAGCAGAAGAGGGCAAGAGAGAAGAGAGAGAGGGGGCAUCCCGGGGCCCACGUGUCGACCGAGCUCGGGGCGAAGGUUUAGGGUUGACGGAUGACUACAGGUGCUGGGGUUUCCCCAAAAGGCGAGUCUGAAAGAAUCCUGAAACAGCUGUCCUCCUGCCCUGAAGAUACACCACCAGCCCCCCAGGGCUGAGGCAGACAGCGUGCUGAAGACAGUCUGGAAGCACGUGCCAAAUCUGUCCUCCUGACUCGGAAGCCUCUCUCUGUAGCCAGACGUGUGGCAUGACAAACGCUAACGCCCCUGCAGCCCAGUGUUAUGGGACUUGGGGUCACACCAAGAGAAGUUUCCUGGACAACUGCUGCCAAGGACAACACCACUCGGAGACCUGCAUGAUCUUGGCAGCCGGCCGUAAAUGUAUAUACUUAGGCAAAGAAAGAGGCAAAACAGAAAGCAAACUGCAGCCUCCCAUUCAGCAUAGCAAUAGUACAGCGGUCAGGUUCUAUUACCACAAACCCAGAGGGCUCAACUGCCUACAAUUGAGGUUUUUUUAAAAGCAUCAAUCUUCAGCGUAAGCUGUCAUUCACAGCUUCUCAUUAGCUGUGUAGCAUCGGUGUUGAUGUGAAAGCUGCACGUACCAUUUGCUAUAUCUGCCCCUCUUAGGGCUUGAAGCUGGCGAUGGAAUGUCCAUGAUGCAGCAAUAUGGUUUAUUCCUGUAGAUACGCAGUGCGCGUCUCUCAUCUGAUGUCUGAACAAGCACAUACAACUGUAAGCUGCUUCAGAUACCAGCUAAAUAGUAGAACGAUAAAUUAAUAGUAAACUUAAGUAUCUGUUAUUUUUCCUGUAGUUAGGUUGAUCCUAUGGGAGACAUAAGUUUGAUAUCUGAUUGAAUGUCUCUAAAGAUGAAAGAUGAGAAAUGAGGAAUAUUUAUAACGAUAAGUGGAUGAGAUUGGUACCCGACAUUUACAAACUUUGGGAUUAGAAGGUGGCACUGUACAAAAUGCAUUAAGUAAAGAAUAUAUUUCUGCUAAUUUAUUCUGGGCCAAGGUCUGAAUAGUCAAACCAUCAAGUAGGUUUUGUUAUUUGCUGAUGUGACCUACAUCUAUACAUGGAACUGAAGACACUUUUCAUGCCUGCAUGUAUACCUGCCCCUGUAAGACUGACAUCCAGGGAUUGCAGUGAAAGCCCUACUGACAAGUUUAGUGAUGGGUCUGCCGGUUUUAUAACGGAGAGUGAAUUCCUGGCCAGAUAUGAGGUGAGGAACUAUAACAAUCAAUAUGAGAGGUGGGGGGGGAGCGUAGGGGGUGUGUCUGUGUCCUUCUCCCCUCUCAACAAUUAAUAGCACCCACACAUUUGAAGCAUGCCGAUCAAACUGCGUCGAGUUGACUUGUGGUUUUCAUACGAUUGUCCUUACAAGAGAUAGAAGUUGUGCAGAAGUGUUCGGUCCAAAGCAUGGAAAAUGAGCAAUUCUUCUCCAGUCUUCUUCUUUCAAUAUCCCAUUGUUCCACGCAUUUUCCGCAACUGCAUUUGCAGAGUACUUUUUCCCAUCAUGCAAAUGGAAUCAUGGUUGACUCUGUUUGAACCUGAGAAAUGUCACUCGAAAGCCCCACCAUGUCACCAGUGACAGUUUAUUUAUAGACUAUGAGCUGGUACUUCUCAUUUUGUAGCUGGAUGGAGGCUAAACAAGUAUGGGAAUGUCUGUCUGCGCACCAAAACAGGACAGACACCACGUGUCAUAUCUCUCAUUUCUGCCUCAUGUUUUGGACCAUCAAAGUCCACAAAUAGCCCAGUGUAUAAUCUAAACUUUAAUUAAGAUCACAAUAUUACUAAAAAGCUGUAUUAAUUUCCUAUAGUUUGUUGUAUUAUUACAGGAAUUCAACUUCACUGUACAUUUUGUAUAUUUUCUGUUAGCUGAGAUUGUAUGUGGAUACAAAUGUGGGAGUUUCUCAAAGUUUGAUUGCUUACAUCUUUGUAUAUCUAUAUAUCAUACAGCUCCUUCUUUGGUAAGCUGCGAAAAAUCUGUAACAAGCAUAAUACCACCAAAGACUAAAUUAUAUUUGGUAAGUAAUUAGCAAUAAAUAAGUCAAGAUCAGCAGAAGACUCACACUGAUGCUAUGUUGAAUUAGUUCUGAAGGCACCCAUUACCUCCAAUGUGUCCAGUGGGGGGUCAGUCAAUAAAUUAAUUUGUCAACCUUCAUCUAAUACUGCUUUUUCUGCAAACGACUCACCAAAAGCUUUGCUUAUAAAAAGAAAUAAGGCAAAGGCUGGUUUAUCAAGAUGGAAGAAAAAUGAAAAAUAUUCACAGUAGUCUAGUAAUAACUGAGUAAGAAAAUGUUGUAUAUAAAUGUAUAAAUCACAAAAAGGAAGAUGUUCUCGGUAUUGGUUUGGAGUCUGCUUAAAACCGCAAAGCUUUCCAAGGAAGAGGUGCUGUUUCCUCGCUGAUAAAUAUUUGGAUAGGCUGCCAGGCAGCCUGUGUAAACGUCCUGGCUGGUGCUCGCUGCGGACUGUGCCACACUCUGCCGGUACGGGUCAGUGCCCGGAGUCCUUACAAAAGUAAACAUGACUAUAAAUGGCCAUACGUGCUUCCUCUCCUCUCUCUGUGUGCCGGUCAUGUCUGGCCUCCUCGUCCGGCUCUCCUGCUGUCAUCAUCGCAGCAGAUCUGUCUCACCACACUCAUCCUGUCUAUCUCUCCAUCGCUCCCUCUCACUGUCCCAAAUUUAAAUCAUUGCUCCAUGAUUGUGCUAGUCAAAUGAUUGACUGUUCUACAUGCAGUACUAAAAGGAAUGAUAAAUAGAGCUUAGAACGGGUGGCAUUUACAGGCCAUUAACAAAUGUUUUCGGUCAGUUUUCAAACAGUCAUCUCUUCAUGUCCCUUAAAGUCAAUGACUUCAUUCCUGAUUUUCUGGCUUCAUAUUUCCACACGUCUCAGUGACAGCCCCCUUGCAGAGCAUGCUAGGAGCCUACCAGCAAGGACCCAUAUGUUUGGUAUUAAGGUCUGCAGAACACCAGCCAUAUGGAGCUUUUCCCUGCAUGUCUGAGAGGCCUUUCAGCUUCUAACAGAACAUCAUGGCAGCCAGCUGCUCCCAAUGAAGACAUUUUAUGUUCGCUUUUCUUUAACGGACAUGUUUCGUGUCUGUAACAUGAUGUCUGUAGACCUGAAUGUUUGCAGAUAAAAAAGGAGAUGGAAUCACCUCCUGUCGACAUAAUUAGAUGACUCGUUCUCGCAGACAUUCCGUAAUUUACUCUGACAGCUACGGUGGUGUGCUUACGGGUGUUUCUGAGGUGAGCUUACUUACCAACUGCGUCUCCCUGAAAAGCAUGUCGUGAAGCUUUUGGAAACCUCACUUUUCAGUUGGUGAUUGCGAAUGAGUGUUUUCUCACCGUACUUUCAUCUAUGUGGCAGCACACAACAGAAGUAUGAAGUUGGUUUUUUCAAAAGUUUUUUUUUUAUCAAUAGAUCAGUCAUGUCAU